GGGUUGUGAGGUUAAGCGACUAAGCGUACACGGUGGAUGCCUAGGCAGUCAGAGGCGAUGAAGGGCGUGCUAAUCUGCGAAAAGCGUCGGUAAGCUGAUAUGAAGCGUAAUAACCGACGAUACCCGAAUGGGGAAACCCAGUGCAAUUCGUUGCACUAUUGCAUGGUGAAUACAUAGCCAUGCAAGGCGAACCGGGGGAACUGAAACAUCUAAGUACCCCGAGGAAAAGAAAUCAACCGAGAUUCCCCCAGUAGCGGCGAGCGAACGGGGAAGAGCCCAGAGUCUGAAUCAGUUGGUGUGUUAGUGGAAGCGUCUGGAAAGUCGCACGGUACAGGGUGAUAGUCCCGUACACAAAAACACACUGGCUGUGAACUCGAUGAGUAGGGCGGGACACGUGACAUCCUGUCUGAAUAUGGGGGGACCAUCCUCCAAGGCUAAAUACUCCUGACUGACCGAUAGUGAACCAGUACCGUGAGGGAAAGGCGAAAAGAACCCCGGCGAGGGGAGUGAAAUAGAACCUGAAACCGUGUACGUACAAGCAGUGGGAGCACCUUCGUGGUGUGACUGCGUACCUUUUGUAUAAUGGGUCAGCGACUUAUAUUUUGUAGCAAGGUUAACCGAAUAGGGGAGCCGUAGGGAAACCGAGUCUUAACUGGGCGUCUAGUUGCAAGGUAUAGACCCGAAACCCGGUGAUCUAGCCAUGGGCAGGUUGAAGGUUGGGUAACACUAACUGGAGGACCGAACCGACUAAUGUUGAAAAAUUAGCGGAUGACUUGUGGCUGGGGGUGAAAGGCCAAUCAAACCGGGAGAUAGCUGGUUCUCCCCGAAAGCUAUUUAGGUAGCGCCUCGUGAACUCAUCUUCGGGGGUAGAGCACUGUUUCGGCUAGGGGUCCAUCCCGGAUUACCAAACCGAUGCAAACUCCGAAUACCGAAGAAUGUUAUCACGGGAGACACACGGCGGGUGCUAACGUCCGUCGUGAAGAGGGAAACAACCCAGACCGCCAGCUAAGGUCCCAAAGUCAUGGUUAAGUGGGAAACGAUGUGGGAAGGCAUAGACAGCCAGGAUGUUGGCUUAGAAGCAGCCAUCAUUUAAAGAAAGCGUAAUAGCUCACUGGUCGAGUCGGCCUGCGCGGAAGAUGUAACGGGGCUAAACCAUGCACCGAAGCUGCGGCAGCGACGCUUAGGCGUUGUUGGGUAGGGGAGCGUUCUGUAAGCCGUUGAAGGUGGCCUGUGAGGGCUGCUGGAGGUAUCAGAAGUGCGAAUGCUGACAUAAGUAACGAUAAUGCGGGUGAAAAACCCGCACGCCGGAAGACCAAGGGUUCCUGUCCAACGUUAAUCGGGGCAGGGUGAGUCGACCCCUAAGGCGAGGCUGAAAAGCGUAGUCGAUGGGAAACAGGUUAAUAUUCCUGUACUGGGUGUGACUGCGAAGGGGGGACGGAGAAGGCUAGGCUAGCCGGGCGACGGUUGUCCCGGUUUAAGCAUGUAGGCGGAGCGACUUGGUAAAUCCGGUUGCUUAUCAACGCUGAGGUGUGAUGACGAGCCACUACGGUGGUGAAGUAGUUGAUGCCAAGCUUCCAGGAAAAGCCUCUAAGCAUCAGGUGACAUUCAAUCGUACCCCAAACCGACACAGGUGGUCAGGUAGAGAAUACUCAGGCGCUUGAGAGAACUCGGGUGAAGGAACUAGGCAAAAUGGUGCCGUAACUUCGGGAGAAGGCACGCUGGCAUUAGGUAAAGAGACUUGCUCUCGGCGCCGAAGCCAGUCGCAGAUACCAGCUGGCUGCAACUGUUUAAUAAAAACACAGCACUGUGCAAACACGAAAGUGGACGUAUACGGUGUGACGCCUGCCCGGUGCUGGAAGGUUAAUUGAUGGGGUCAGCCGCAAGGCGAAGCUCUUGAUCGAAGCCCCAGUAAACGGCGGCCGUAACUAUAACGGUCCUAAGGUAGCGAAAUUCCUUGUCGGGUAAGUUCCGACCUGCACGAAUGGCGUAAUGAUGGCCAGGCUGUCUCCACCCGAGACUCAGUGAAAUUGAACUCGCUGUGAAGAUGCAGUGUACCCGCGGCAAGACGGAAAGACCCCGUGAACCUUUACUAUAGCUUGACACUGAAUAUUGAGCCUUGAUGUGUAGGAUAGGUGGGAGGCAUCGAAGCGUGGACGCCAGUCUGCGUGGAGCCAACCUUGAAAUACCACCCUUUAAUGUUUGAUGUUCUAACUCGGCCCCAUAAUCUGGGGUGAGGACAGUGUCUGGUGGGUAGUUUGACUGGGGCGGUCUCCUCCCAAAGAGUAACGGAGGAGCACGAAGGUUAGCUAAUCACGGUCGGACAUCGUGAGGUUAGUGCAAAGGCAUAAGCUAGCUUGACUGCGAGAGUGACGGCUCGAGCAGGUACGAAAGUAGGUCUUAGUGAUCCGGUGGUUCUGAAUGGAAGGGCCAUCGCUCAACGGAUAAAAGGUACUCCGGGGAUAACAGGCUGAUACCGCCCAAGAGUUCAUAUCGACGGCGGUGUUUGGCACCUCGAUGUCGGCUCAUCACAUCCUGGGGCUGAAGUAGGUCCCAAGGGUAUGGCUGUUCGCCAUUUAAAGUGGUACGCGAGCUGGGUUUAGAACGUCGUGAGACAGUUCGGUCCCUAUCUGCCGUGGGCGUUGGAAGAUUGAGAGGGGCUGCUCCUAGUACGAGAGGACCGGAGUGGACGCAUCACUGGUGUUCGGGUUGUCAUGCCAAUGGCAUUGCCCGGUAGCUAAAUGCGGAAAAGAUAAGCGCUGAAAGCAUCUAAGCGCGAAACUUGCCUCGAGAUGAGUCUUCCCUGGGGCUUUAAGCCCCCUGAAGGAACGUUAAAGACUAUGACGUUGAUAGGCUGGGUGUGUAAGUGCAGCGAUGCAUUGAGCUAACCAGUACUAAUGAUCCGUGAGGCUUAACCUUACAACACCGAAGGUGUUU
rnacentral:rRNA from 1 species